rnacentral:rRNA from 1 species
CCUACGGGAGGCAGCAGUGAGGAAUAUUGGUCAAUGGACGAAAGUCUGAACCAGCCAAGUAGCGUGAAGGAUGACUGCCCUAUGGGUUGUAAACUUCUUUUAUAAAGGAAUAAAACGAGGCACGUGUGCCUUUUUGCAUGUACUUUAUGAAUAAGGAUCGGCUAACUCCGUGCCAGCAGCCGCGGUAAUACGGAGGAUCCGAGCGUUAUCCGGAUUUCUUGGGUUUAAAGGGAGCGUAGAUGGGUUGUUAAGUCAGUUGUGAAAGUUUGCGGCUCAACCGUAAAAUUGCAAUGGAUACUGGCAGUCUUGAGUACAGUUGAGGUAGGCGGAAUUCGUGGUGUAGCGGUGAAAUGCUUAGAUAUCACGAAGAACCCCGAUUGCGAAGGCAGCUUACUAAACUGUGACUGACACUGAUGCUCGAAAGUGUGGGUAUCAAACAGGAUUAGAUACCCCAGUAGUC